AACACGGAUCAAACCGCGAACUUUUAAACCUUUGACGAUUGACUCAUGUUGCCUCGGCGGGUUCUCCCGCCAGAGGAUACAUCAAAACUCCUGUUUUAACGGUGUUGUCUGAGCUACAAGCAACGAAUCAAAACUUUCAACAACGGAUCUCUUGGUUCUGGCAUCGAUGAAGAACGCAGCGAAAUGCGAUAAGUAGUGUGAAUUGCAGAAUUCAGUGAAUCAUCGAAUCUUUGAACGCACAUUGCGCCCCUUGGUAUCCCGAGGGGCAUGCCUGUUCGAGCGUCAUUUCACCACUCAAGCCUGGCUUGGUGUUGGGCGACGUCCCCUUUAGGGACGCGCCUUGAAACGCUCGGCGGCGUGGCACCGGCUUUAAGCGUAGCAGAAUCUUUCGCUUUGAAAGUCGGGGCCCCGUCUGCCGGAAGACCUACUCGCAAGGUUGACCUCGGAUCAGGCAGGGAUACCCGCUGAACUUAAGCAUAUCAAUAAGCG
rnacentral:rRNA from 1 species